CCUACGGGCGGCAGCAGUGGGGAAUUUUGGGCAAUGGGCGCAAGCCUGACACAGCAACGCCGCGUGAAGGAAGAAGGCUUUCGGGUUGUAAACUUCUUUUGACAGGGAAGAGUAGAAGACGGUACCUGUCGACUAAGCCACGGCCAACUACGUGCCAGCAGCCGCGGUCAUACGUAGGUGGCAAGCGUUGUCCGGGUUUACUGGGUGUAAAGGGCGUGUAGCCGGGUUGACAAGUCAGAUGGGAAAUCCUGCGGCUUAACCGCAGAACUGCAGUUGAAACUGUUGAUCUUGAGUGCUGGAGAAGCAGACGGAAUUCCUAGUGUAGCGGUGAAAUGCGUAGAUAUUAGGAGGAACACCAGUGGCGAAGGCGGUCUGCUGGAGAGCAACUGACGGUGAGGCGCGAAAGCGUGGGGAGCGAACAGGAUUAGAUACCCGAGUAGUC
rnacentral:rRNA from 1 species